rnacentral:rRNA from 1 species
GACGAACGCUGGCGGCGUGCUUAACACAUGCAAGUCGAGCGGUAAGGCCUUUCGGGGUACACGAGCGGCGAACGGGUGAGUAACACGUGGGUGACCUGCCCUCCACUCUGGGAUAAGCCUGGGAAACUGGGUCUAAUACCGGAUAGGACUGCUGACCGCAGGGUUGGUGGUGGAAAGUUUUUUCGGUGGGGGAUGGGCCCGCGGCCUAUCAGCUUGUUGGUGGGGUGAUGGCCGACCAAGGCGGUGACGGGUAGCCGGCCUGAGAGGGCGACCGGCCACACUGGGACUGAGACACGGCCCAGACUCCUACGGGAGGCAGCAGUGGGGAAUAUUGCGCAAUGGGCGGAAGCCUGACGCAGCGACGCCGCGUGGGGGAUGACGGCCUUCGGGUUGUAAACCUCUUUCGCCAGGGACGAAGUAGGACGGUACCUGGAGAAGAAGCACCGGCCAACUACGUGCCAGCAGCCGCGGUAAAAC